rnacentral:rRNA from 1 species
GUCCACGCAGUAAACGAUGAUCACUAGCUGUUUGCGAUACACUGUAAGCGGCACAGCGAAAGCGUUAAGUGAUCCACCUGGGGAGUACGCCGGCAACGGUGAAAACUCAAAAGGAAUUGACGGGGGCCCGCACAAGCGGAGGAACAUGUGGUUUAAUUCGAUGAUACGCGAGGAACCUUACCCGGGUUUGAACGCAUUUCGACAGCUCUGGAAACAGAGUCUCUAGCGAUAGCGAUUUGCGAGGUGCUGCAUGGUUGUCGU